rnacentral:rRNA from 1 species
AGAGUUUGAUCCUGGCUCAGAGCGAACGCUGGCGGCAGGCCUAACACAUGCAAGUCGAGCGCCCAGCAAUGGGAGCGGCAGACGGGAGAGUAACACGUGGGAACGUACCUUUCAGUUCGGAACAACCAAGGGAAACUUUGGCUAAUACCGGAUACGCCCGUAAGGGGAAAGAUUUAUCGCUGAAAGAUCGGCCCGCGUCUGAUUAGCUAGUUGGUGGGGUAACGGCCCACCAAGGCGACGAUCAGUAGCUGGUCUGAGAGGAUGACCAGCCUCACUGGGACUGAGACACGGCCCAGACUCCUACGGGAGGCAGCAGUGGGGAAUAUUGGACAAUGGGCGCAAGCCUGAUCCAGCCAUGCCGCGUGGAUGAUGACGGCCCUAGGGUUGUAAAGUCCUUUUAACGGGGAAGAUAAUGACGGUACCCGUAGAAUAGGCCCCGGCUAACUUCGUGCCAGCAGCCGCGGUAAUACGAAGGGGGCUAGCGUUGCUCGGAAUUACUGGGCGUAAAGCGCACGUAGGCGGCUUUCUAAGUCAGGGGUGAAAUCCUGGAGCCCAACUCCAGAACUGCCUUCGAUACUGGAAAGCUCGAGUCCGGGAGAGGUGAGUGGAACUGCGAGUGUAGAGGUGAAAUUCGUAGAUA